rnacentral:lncRNA from 1 species
GUCUUUUUGCCUUUUCUAGGGCCACUUCCUGCGGCAUAUGGAGGUUCCCAGGCCAGCGGGUCCAAUCGGAGCGGUAGCCACUGGCCUACGCCAGAGCCACAGCAACGUGGGAUCCAAGCCGCGUCUGCAACCUACACCACAGCUCACAGCAACGCCGGAUCCUUCACCCACUGAGCAAGAGCAGGGAUUGAACCCGCAACCUCAUGGUUCCUAGUCAGAUUUGUUAACCACUGCGCCAUGACGGGAACUCCGUGGAGAAAGGGGAGAAGAAAUAAAUAAUACUGGUCUAAAAGAUGGUGAAAUAAAGAUUUUUUAAACAAAAUUAAUUUAAUUUUAAUUGCAAAAUUUAUUUAUAUUUUAAUAUAGGAAAUACAGUAACUUGGUUCUCAAUAUAUCUGUGAAUUAAAUCCCUACAUAUAAAAUCACUAGAUCAAAGGGUAUGUUUAUUUGCAAUGUUGCCAAAUUGCCCUCUAUAAAAAUUGUACCUACUUAUACCCCUACCAACAAUCUCUGAGAAAAACUGUGUUCCCACAUCUUCUAACACAAAUUAUCGAACUUUUUCAUAUUUGCUAAUCUGAAAGAUGAUAAAUGAAACCCCAGCAGUUCCCAUUGUGGUUUUCAGUGGGUUAAGGACCCAGCAUUGUCUCUGUGAGGAUGCUGGUUCAAUCCCUGGCCUCACUCAGUGGGUUAAGAAUCCAGCAUUGCAGCAAACAACAGCAUGGGUCGCAGAUGCGGCUCAGAUCCAGUGUUGUUGUGGCUGUGACGUAGGCCCCAGCUGCAGCUCCACUUUGAUCCCUGGCCCAGGAACUUUCAUAUGGUGCAGGUGCAGCUGUAAAAAGAAAAAAAAAAAUGAUACCCCAAUGUGUUCAAUGUGCACUACUCCGGUGAAUGAAGUCAUGCCUCUAUUCAUAUGCUGUAGAGACACUUUUAUUUGCUUUUCUGUUAACUAUCUCUCUCAUGUCUUUUAUCAUCAUCAUCAUCAUCAUCAUUAUUAUUAUUAUUUAGCCUUUACUAUAGGUUUGCCCUUACUAGUGGGACUUUUCAUUUUCUAUAAAUUUUUACUUCCUGUAGAAUCCUUUUCUUUUCCACUUAAAGAAGACCCUUUAAAAUUACUUUUAGGUCUGCUUCAGUAUUGAUGAACUCUUUUAGUUUUCAUUUGUCUGUGGAGUCUUUUAUCUCUCCAUCAAUUCUGAAUGAUGAUCUUGCUAGGUAGAGUAUCCUAGGUUGUAGGUUUUCCCUUUUCAGCACUUUCAAUAUAUCAUGGCAUUCCCUUCUGGCCUGCAAAGUUGCUGCAGAAAAAUCUUCUGACAACCUUACAGGGAUUCCCUUGUUUGUAACUCUUUAUUUUCCAAUUGUUGUCUUUAGAAUUCUCUACCUUUAACUUUCACCAUUUUAAUUAUGAUAUUUAUAGGGACAAAGUAAAGGCACAAAGUAGGUGCUUGAAGAGUUAAUUCCACUAGGGGAUCAUAAGUUUUUAAAAAGUAUGGAAGACCUGAGAAAGUGUAUGAUCACUCGAAAAGCAGAUUUGCUUAACAACAAAACCAUGCCAUAAAAGCACAGCCAUGCCCCCAAACAAAAAAAACAAUGGUAAAAUGAGACCCACAUCCUGCCCAGUAAGGUCAGUAAGUUAAUAAUUCUUAAGACAUGCUCCUCAGCACACACUAAAAGCGAAAAUAUAGAAAAGGGUGACAUCAUCCUAAACCUAAAAUAAUUUACCAUAUUUUAGUACACGAUACUGCCUUUUUACCCAUUUCCACUGCACCAUGACAGUCCCAGUUUGAUCGUGAAGGGACAAGAAAACUCUCCCACCAGCCAUGAAGGAGGAGCUGAUGAUGUAAGUUUAACAUCUACUCAGGAAUGAGUAAGGAAGUGAUCUUCUUCCCCUCCCUACUUCUCCUUUGAUUAUAAAACUAGCCCAUUAAGUUCUUAGAGCAGCAUCCUUUGCCUGCCAGCUUGUAGCUCUCACACGCAUCCUAUAUUAAUAGCCUGUUGCUUUGCCUCUUGCUGAAUUCUUUAUGCGCUGAGACAGAAGAACCUAAGCUUCAUUAAUUCCUAAGAUGAGUUCUGUGUUUUCGGACUAGGUAAAUGGUUUUAAUUAAAGAGAGGGGUUCGAGCCC